rnacentral:lncRNA from 1 species
ACCAAAUUUUUUUUACUGCACGUUAAUCGUUUUAAAUAUUAAAUAAUACACCCCAAAAAAAUCGUUUGAAUGAUAACAAGAGUUUUUGCAGUUUACUUUUUAUCAGAUAGCAAAUUUCAUUGAGUAAAUAUUUUAGCGUUAACAAACAAAUAUAAUCAUGCGCCAGGCCUAUUCAAUGACAUAAAUAUACAAUUUACGUGUGAUAGAGGUAAAAAAUAGAGGUGUGGAAAAACAUAUUCCCUAUCUCCAAUUUUAGAUAAUUAUAAGGAUUAAACGCCUUUUUAGAGGAAUUUAUUGGUGAAUAAACUGGACCAAGUCACACACAAGCAUAGUUUUAAUGUUGUAUUUGUUUUUGAGUGAAUUGGUCGAGUUUAUACACCAAUAAUUUAAUGUUGGAUGUAACGCGUCUUCUGAUUGGCUGACGUUAUUUCGUUAUGAGCCCAUAGACAUAAUUUAGUCAUGUGACCGUGACGUCAUCAACGUUUUUUCAUGG